GAUCAUUACCGAGUUUACAACUCCCAAACCCCUGUGAACAUACCUAUACGUUGCCUCGGCGGAUCAGCCCGCGCCCCGUAAAACGGGACGGCCCGCCCGAGGACCCUAAACUCUGUUUUUAGUGGAACUUCUGAGUAAAACAAACAAAUAAAUCAAAACUUUCAACAACGGAUCUCUUGGUUCUGGCAUCGAUGAAGAACGCAGCAAAAUGCGAUAAGUAAUGUGAAUUGCAGAAUUCAGUGAAUCAUCGAAUCUUUGAACGCACAUUGCGCCCGCCAGUAUUCUGGCGGGCAUGCCUGUUCGAGCGUCAUUUCAACCCUCAAGCUCAGCUUGGUGUUGGGACUCGCGGUAACCCGCGUUCCCCAAAUCGAUUGGCGGUCACGUCGAGCUUCCAUA
rnacentral:misc_RNA from 1 species